AACGCGAAGAACCUUACCCAGGUUUGAAAUGCAGCGGACGAUGUCAGAGAUGACAUUUCCCGUAAGGGUCGCUGCACAGGUGCUGCAUGGCUGUCGUCAGCUCGUGCUGUGAGGUGUUGGGUUAAGUCCCGCAACGAGCGCAACCCUUAUGACUAGUUGCCAACACGUAAAGGUGGGCACUCUAGUCAGACUGCCCGGGUUAACUGGGAGGAAGGUGAGGAUGACGUCAAGUCAGCAUGGCCCUUAUGUCUGGGGCUACACACGUGCUACAAUGGCCAACACAGAAGGAAGCAAGACCGCGAGGUGGAGCAAAUCCGUAAAGUUGGUCUCAGUUCAGAUUGCAGUCUGCAACUCGACUGCAUGAAGAUGGAAUUGCUAGUAAUGGCGUGUCAGCAAUAGCGCCGUGAAUACGUUCCCGGGCCUUGUA
rnacentral:rRNA from 1 species